AAUACAGUCGAUAGAGGAUAUAGCGAUUCGGCGUACAUGCGAGUUGUUUGUCGGACAUGUGGAAAUUCUUGCUAACAUGGCGGCAAUGACAAGGUUAUGGUCGAAUGUCUACAAAACAGUGGUCCCUCGCCGGACGUUCACGACAGGGAGAGUCCUGCGUGACACUCCACCCGGAAUACCUAACGAUUCGAUGAUGUUCAUAGCUGGUAAAGAGAAGCUUAACAAGGUUUCAUUUACGUUAGGUUACAUAGUCUUUGCCAUGACUGGACUGAUGUGGCCCGUUAUGGCUAUGAGGGAUCAAUGUAUACGGAUAGGCGCGUCCAUCGAGGAUCCAGCAGAGUAGAUGUCAGAGGUUUGCUUGAGUUUCACUGAUGUCCAGUGUCCGCCAUUGAACGCCGGCGGCGAGAGAGCCGAUUUCGUUAUUAAUACUCGGUUGGAUUCGUCUUAUUAGUUCUAACUGUAAACUAUUUGAGAUGUGAAUAAAUUAUUUGCAGUGGAAA